AAGAGUCAUCUUAGAUUGAGUCACGAGACAUGUGAACACUUGUUGUUUACAUAUUUUAGUGGCGGACGGGUGAGUAACGCGUAAGAAUCUGCCUCGGGGCGAGGGAUACCAACUGGAAACGGUUGCUAAUACCUCAUAAGCUGAGAAGUAAAAGGUGUACUGCACCACCAAGAGAGGAGCUUGCGUCUGAUUAGUUAGUUGGUAAGGUAAUGGCUUACCAAGGCUAUGAUCAGUAGCUGGUCUGAGAGGACAAUCAGCCACACUGGGACUGAGACACGGCCCAGACUCCUACGGGAGGCAGCAGUGAGGAAUUUUCCGCAAUGGGCGCAAGCCUGACGGAGCAAUGUCGCGUGAAGGAAGACGGCCCGUGGGUUGUAAACUUCUUUUCUUAGAGAAGAAAACUGACGGUAUCUAGGGAAUAAGCAUCGGCUAACUCCGUGCCAGCAGCCGCGGUAAUACGGAGGAUGCAAGCGUUAUCCGGAAUGAUUGGGCGUAAAGGGUCUUGAGGUGGCUGGCUUAAUCUACUGUGAAAGAUCAGGGCUUAACCCUGAACAGGCGGUGGAAACUAGCAAGCUGGAGUACGGUAGGGGCGGAGGGAAUUCUCGGUGGAGCGGUGAAAUGCAUACAUAUCGGGAAGAACACCAACGGCGAAAGCACUCCGCUGGGCCGACAACUGACACUGACAGACGAAAUCUAGGGGAGCGAAUGGGAUUAGAUACCCCCAGUACUCCUACCCGUAAACGAUGGACACUAACUAUUGAACGAAUUCAAUCCGUACAGUGGUGAAGCUAACGCCAUAAGUGUCCCGCCCGGGGAGAAUGCCCCCCAGAGUGAA
rnacentral:rRNA from 1 species